rnacentral:rRNA from 1 species
AUUGAACGCUGGCGGCAGGCCUAACACAUGCAAGUCGAACGAGAGGCGGACGGGAGAGUAAUGUCUGUGACUCUGCCUGAUGGAGGUGGAUCACUAAUGGGAAAGAUAGCUAAUACCGCAUAGCAUCAGCUGGGCACAGUUGGGAUUAGCUAGUUGGUGGGGUAAAGGCUCACCAAGGCGACGAUCCCUAGCUGGUCUGAGAGGAUGCCCAGCCACACUGGAACUGAGACACGGUCCAGACUCCUACGGGAGGCAGCAGUGGGGAAUAUUGCACAAUGGGCGCAAGCCUGAUGCAGCCAUGCCGCGUGUAUGAAGAAGGCCUUCGGAUUGUAAAGUACUUUCAGCGGGGAGGCGUUACCAGCAGAAGAAGCACCGGCUAACUCCGUGCCAGCAGCCGCGGUAAUUC